rnacentral:rRNA from 1 species
AUUCCAGCUCCAAUAGCGUAUAUUAAUGUUGUUGCAGUUAAAAAGCUCGUAGUUGGAUUUCUGCGCCGCGCAACUCGGUCCGCUGCACUGCAGUGUGAUGUGUGGUUGGAGCGUCGCAUCCUUGUGGGGACUGUUUGUGUCAUUAAUUUGAUGGAUUCCGGAACCGCAUCGUUUACUGUGAAAAAAUUAGAGUGUUCAAAGCAGGCUUAUGCCGUGAAUACAUUAGCAUGGAAUAAUAAGAUAGGACUUUGGUUCUAUUUUGUUGGUUUUCGGAAAUCGACUUAAUGAUUAAUAGGGACAGUAGGGGGCAUUUGUAUUCAAACGACAGAGGUGAAAUUCUUGGACCGUUUGAAGACAAACUACUGCGAAAGCAUUUGCCAAGAAUGUUUUCAUUA